CGCACGAGGUCAGCGCCAGUGCCGUUGGAUACCCUAGCCACCAGAGGCGCCUGAGGACCGGCUCAGGGCUGGACUCCGGGCUACCUCUUGAUGGCCACGCAGCGGCAUCUGGGGACCUGGCGCUGAGGCCGCCCUCGGCCGGGAUCUGCCUCUUCAGCGGACCCGGGCGCUGGAGUGAGGCCCCGGACCAGGGUGACGGCCCAGGCGGGGGAAACCUUAUCCUGGGCCUGGACCGGAGAGGGGGAAACUCGAUCUUUGGGACUUUGAACAAGUAAAAUGCGAGAAGUUUGCUAAUAAAGCUAUCACCAAAGGUUAGAAACAAAAUCAAGUAGAAGAAAUGCUUAUAGUAUGGCAUGUGGGAACACCUCUACAGCAGAUAGUCUUGUGUUAGGGGCUAUCCAGAUUAUGAUUGGCAUUUUUCAUAUUUUCAUGUGGUAUUUCCUAUUGGUUUUGUAUAUGGGACAAAUUAAAGGAGUCUUUGGGACAUAUGAACCUAUAACUUACAAAACAGGAUGUGCUUUUUGGGGAAUUUUUUAUAUUGUAUCAGGAGCUUCCACAAUAAGAUCAACACAGAAAUCGAGUCAAUACCUGACGAUAUGGGCUUUGAUCAUGAACAUCUUCUCUGUAAUUACUGCAUUUAUUGCACUGUGUCUAACAGUAUUUGAGUUGUCUACUUUUCAUAGUGUGUCAUAUAGGAAUUAUGGACAAGCGAAACUAGGGAGGGAAGUUUCACGUAUUUUAUUGGCCUCGUACCUCUUGGAAAUUGGUAUUGCACUUGCACAUUCAAUCUGCUGCUGUGCACGGUUGAACGAAACAGAAGAUCAGAGGACCCGUCGUAGCAGCUCCCUGCAACUGAACAAAAAAACCAGAACAAACAGAGGAUCUGAGGAAACCACAUUCUCGUAGCAGCUUCCUGAGUCUGAGCAAAAAAUCCAGUUCUACAAGGGCAAGUCAAGUCUCUGAAUCCUGAAGAUAUUUCAACUGAAACAGAAGAGAGCUCUGUUUGAAAACCUUAGAAAUGUGAGAUUUUUACUGGUGUUGAUAUCUGAUAUGGGUAAUAAUGAUGUUUCUGUAGAACAAACCUGGUACAAAGCCCACAGAUUUCUGUGCAAAAGAAAAUACAAAACAAGUUGGACUUUUCACCUUAGUAUUCAAGAAAUUUCUCUACGUAAAUUUUUCUAGGCUCCAUGGAGAAAGCAAUUCCAUAUAUAAACAUGAGAUUAUUACAAGAGAGGGUUUGUUAUCUUGGUACCCCAAAUAGCUCUCAACUUUCCCUUACACAGAUUUUGUAAAAGAGCAUUGAAAAGUUUAUUUCCAGAGUGCAGUCUAUAAAGACUUAAAGUAUGAUGUAUAAUUCACAGGAAAGCUAAUUUAUGUUUGUAAGAGUAAAAAGCACAUUUCAUAUUCUUGAGUUCUUCUACCUGAACUAGCUUCUACUUAACAAGUAUGAAUCAAAAUGCCACCAAUUCAGAGAUCCUUCAUUGUUCCUUGACUUCCCCUCUUCUCAUUAAAGUUCCUUUCUGCCCUGAAAGUUUCUGCUGUCUUUCUUCCCCUCUCAUUCCCGCUUCAUCUGCUUGUCAUUGUUUGGGUCAUCUGUUCACUUGCUUUUCAAAGCAAACUGCCUUUACCCAAUAGGAAGUUCCCAGAAAUCUGUUCUGAACUCAGUUAUCCUCUUUUCCAUUAUGGAACAUGACUUCAGAAAACUUGGUUCAGCAAUAUUAAUCAUGCCAUUUAGUACAUGUAACUCUCUUUUAAAUGUGAUGUUGUUUUUGUUUGUUUUCUGCCCUCUCAAGGUGUUUCACAACUGUUAUCUACUACUGUCAGUUAGAAUCCCUUUUGUCUGGCCAAGAGAAGAAGGGAAGGAAGGUACUUGGUUUAUAGACUGUCUCUUGUUAGCUAAGCUCACUCAUGAUCCUGUCAGUUUUCAAUGAAUUUCUCACUGGGAAGUAAAUACAAUGAAUAGAGAUAAACAGCUAUGAACAAUUUUAAAAGUGAUAAUGUUUCAUGCACUCAAAAUAUACCUAGAAUUAUAAUUCAUAAUUAUAAAGUUUUAAAUAUCUGUUUAAUUCAAAUGAAGAAAAAUGGGAAACAAAUAAUAAAUAGUAUGGCAUCAGAAUAUAAACCAAAUAUAUCACAAUGAAUUGCUAAUCCUAUGCUGCUAACAAGAGACAGAAAUAAAUGUGGCAAGUAUAUGUAAGACUUCUGGAAAAAAUAACCCAUAAUAUUGAACUGAGUGUAAACAAAGAAGACCCAAAUAAAUGAAGAGAUAUUC